rnacentral:rRNA from 1 species
AUUGAACGCAGGCGGCAGGCCUAACACAUGCAAGUCGAGCGGAUGACGGGAGCUUGCUCCUUGAUUCAGCGGCGGACGGGUGAGUAAUGCCUAGGAAUCUGCCUGGUAGUGGGGGACAACGUUUCGAAAGGAACGCUAAUACCGCAUACGUCCUACGGGAGAAAGCAGGGGACCUUCGGGCCUUGCGCUAUCAGAUGAGCCUAGGUCGGAUUAGCUAGUUGGUGGGGUAAUGGCUCACCAAGGCGACGAUCCGUAACUGGUCUGAGAGGAUGAUCAGUCACACUGGAACUGAGACACGGUCCAGACUCCUACGGGAGGCAGCAGUGGGGAACAUUGGACAAUGGGCGAAAGCCUGAUCCAGCCAUGCCGCGUGUGUGAAGAAGGUCUUCGGAUUGUAAAGCACUUUAAGUUGGGAGGAAGGGCAGUAAGUUAAUACCUUGCUGUUUUGACGUUACCGACAGAAUAAGCACCGGCUAACUCUGUGCCAGCCGCCGCCGUAA